AUUGAACGCUGGCGGCAGGCCUAACACAUGCAAGUCGAACGGUAGCACAGAGAGCUUGCUCUCGUGUGACGAGUGGCGGACGGGUGAGUAAUGUCUGGGAAACUGCCCGAUUGAGGGGGAUAACUACUGUAAACGGUAGCUAAUACCGCAUAAUUUCGCAAGACCAAAGAGGGGGACCUUCGGUCCUCUUUCCAUCGUAUGUUCCCAGAUGGGAUUAGCUAGUUGGUUAGGUAAUGGCUCACCAAGGCGACGAUCCCUAGCUGGUCUGAGAGGAUGACCAGCCACACUGGAACUGAGACACGGUCCAGACUCCUACGGGAGGCAGCAGUGGGGAAUAUUGCACAAUGGGCGCAAGCCUGAUGCAGCCAUGCCGCGUGUGUGAAGAAGGCCUUCGGGUUGUAAAGCACUUUCAGCGGGGAGGAAGGCAAUACGGUUAAUAACCGUGUUGAUUGACGUUACCCGCAGAAGAAGCACCGGCUAACUCCGUG
rnacentral:rRNA from 1 species